rnacentral:lncRNA from 1 species
UCUGCAUUGGCUGAAUACACAUUAAAGUUGAUAUUAGUAAAAAAUAGAUCCCAUAAAAGCACACCCAAAUUGAAUGUGUGUGUGUGUGGGGGGGGAUUAGUUUUUGUCUUUUGUUUUUUUAUUUCUUGAGACAGUGUUUUUCUGUGUAGCCCUGGCUGUCCUGGAACUCAUUCUGUAAACCACUCUUGCCUUGAACAGUACUGGGAUUAAAUGUGUGUGCCACCACCUGGAUGACCUGAAUUGUUACUCAUUCUGGAUAGGCUGACCAGUUGUCUGGUGGUUACUGCUACUGAUCCAUCCCAACUGCUGGACUUCUCCUUCAUACCCAAGGCCUCCAGGCAGUAUCUAUGUGGAGUCAACACUAAAAGGGAGCAGACACCAUUUCCCAGGCCCUUUAUUCUGGUGACUGAUGGAAGAGUGGGAGGGCAAUAUAUUUACUUGUUUAAUGGGUGGAAAAACAGAUCAAGAUUCCAACCAGUAGCAGUGGCUGACUCCUACACAGAAGACUGGGAACUGCAAACAGACUGGGGUCACCUCAGUGACAUCUGACGCUGUCCAACCAGAAGUCUGA